GGGAGUUCCUGUUUUAACCCUCAAAGUGAAGUGUCGUCUCAUUAUUGGGGGAAGGAUUUAUUGUAUGCUGUUCCAGUUUGACUGCUAGGAGAGUAAACCUAUUCGUAUGGUUCCUAUUCAACUGUCUACAGCAUUCAUAUGCUUGAGAGCAUUCAUAUGCUCCUACAGUUCGGUGGUUGUGGUGUCUGCUGCAGUGCUUGGAGUCCUCAGGAAGCACUAGGAGCAUCUUUCAACGGAGGUACCCAGUCGGGGUGCCAGG